rnacentral:rRNA from 1 species
UACGAAGGGGGCGAGCGUUGUUCGGAUUUACUGGGCGUAAAGGGCGCGUAGGCGGCGGGUCAAGUCGAGUGUGAAAGCCCCGGGCUCAACCUGGGAAUUGCGCUCGAGACUGGUCUGCUUGAGUUCGGGAGAGGAGAGUGGAAUUCCCAGUGUAGAGGUGAAAUUCGUAGAUAUUGGGAAGAACACCGGUGGCGAAGGCGGCCCACUGGAUCGGUACUGACGCUGAGGUGCGAAAGCCAGGGAGCAAACGGG